AGAACAUUCUAUUCGUCAGAAUAGUUAGACAAUAGAAUCAGAAUGUGAAGAAAUAUAUCCUAAAUAAAUGAAACAACAAAAACGUCGCCCGUUAAGCUCCGCCUCCGAAUGAAAGCAGACGAGAGGGAACGUGACGCUCAUUUAUAUGUAAAAUGAAUAUUGCACCACCAAAAACGGUGGUUUUCAUUUUCCUAUAUUGUGCGAUAAGUCGAUAUAUUGCACACUGGCCUAAUGACAAUGUGAGAGCAAUAACAGGUUUAAAAACCACAGCGUCCUCCUCUUCCUCUCCUGGAAGGAUCCGAAAAACUAAUCUGUUGGUAUCCGCAGAAGGGAAAAGACAACCAUUCGUGAUCUAACUUGUUGUCUAUUGUUACACUGUCUACUGUCACGCACCAACCGCCAAGUCAAAGUCCUUGUAUGUAUGGCAUAUUUUUGCAAUAAAAGUUUCCUGAUUCCUAUUUAGCACAAGAUAAGAUCCAAAGAAGAAAAAGUGAUGAUAAAUACUCAGAUUCCUACCUCAUCUUGUUGAAACAGGACUUUUGAGCAGUCCCAGAACAUAUGAGUCAAGUCAAUCAUAUCUGAAUAAAAUUUGAGUCUUAAAAUAAUAUCGUGACGCUAACUCAACAGCGGGUUUUAAGACCGCAAGGCUGUGGACAGCCACCAGUGGGCAUCACUGCAUUACAAAAAGCACUUUGGGAUUUUAGACAUUUCAGCCCCUGUGAAGCCUUCAAGGUUCUCCAGUUCCUAGAUGACACAGCAGAAGGGCCGUGGAGGUGGUCUACACGUUGGCCCGAUGGUACAGUAAUAAGUGCAGCAGCGGCACAUACGCAUUUAUUAUAGUCUACAUAUUCAACAUUUUCACUCAUUCCUGUCAUAAAACGAGAGCGUUGGCUAACUUGACCUAUGAAACAUGAAUAUGGUGCACUGACCGAAAUGAAUAUGCUAACCUGAGUGUCUGGAGGCAUGAAUUACAUUCAGAUUCAUCACGUGUCUCUGACCAAAGCCGACAGACGUCUCUAAUUGACCUAUUUUUAGGCAGCUGUGAAAUUUGUUCUGAGCUAAAAAUAACCUACACCAAUCACACCAUUGGCCUUUCCUAUAUGUUAUUCUUCUUAUAUUUACACCAGGCUGUAUUGCUGGAUCCACUGGGAAGGAAGGGGGCAAUAGAGAACCAGAACCAAGGUUUCCUAAAAGAACUCUGGCGCUGUGAAACAGCUUUUGUCAACAGAAAAGUAAAGUCCCUCGUAGUAUCCCAAAUGGAAAGUCCUUCUUAUGAUGACCCGGCGUGAAGACAACAGCCUGGGGUGCUGAAUGACCACAGACCUCAAAGCUUUCCUCAUAGUUGUGAGGAUGGAACGGACCUGCUCUGAGAGCAGCUCGGUGGGGUCGGCCCUCUGCAGACCGGACCUUCACUAUGUGCCCGUACUGACCACAGACCAGCCAGGGGGGACGGGCCAUUGUUCGGCACCACACACUGGCUCUGUGUCUCUGGCGAUGCCGUGGGACUGAACAGUUCGGCUGUUUGUGUUUCAAAGAAUGCUGCGCUGGAAGAAAGGAAGGAAACAAGAGCAGAGCGCGCCACACUCGAAGGACACAUUCAGCUUGGUAGCAUUAUUAUUUCUAACAGACAGGAUGGAGUUUGCAUCUAACCUCUCGACAUCCCAGGGGAACCUCCUCCCAUCAGAAGAUGUUUUAAAAGGAAGACAAACUGUAUAAAAAAACAACAUUUUAGAUCGAUAGACCUUGAGCUACAUAAAUUGCCCCGUGGCGAUCUGCACCGACGGUGUUGCAUUACAACAUUUAGUCUUUGGACAUUAUAUUGGCUUGAAAAAGCAAAUCGUCCACUGGAAUGAAACAAUCGCAGCUUUUAAAAGGCACUUGUGUUGUUGCAGGACGGGCAGCAGCGUUCUAAAGCCAACACGAUGUGUUCCCCGGGACAGGCGGGAGUGGUCCCAUGCAGCAGCUGUGGGUGACACUACAUCAGUGAGACAGAGAGGACACAUCAGCCGUCUCUGUGUGUGUAAAAUACAGAAUAUUCCCAGUGAGAGAUGUGCGGCCCCUCCGCCGGCUUGUUGUGAAUCAGCUCAGCUGCUUCAGCUGCUCCGCCUUCCGUUAACCUGCCAGGUUUCACAGGCGCUGCGUCUAUUUUAGCAAACCCUGUUUCGCUCGGAUACGUUUGCAAAUGAUGGAAUAGUCGGACAGCAGCUCCCUUCUUUUCAUGCUGCUAAACGUCUUCAACCACUCAUACCCAGCUUCAACACUCAAAAGACGCAUUUGUUAAGAUUCGGGUUCGGGUUCGGGUCAGGGUUCGGGUUUAGGGUCCAGGGUUCGGGGUUAGGGUUUAGGGUCCAGGGUUCGGGUUUAGGGUCCAGGGUUUGGGGUUAGGGUCCAGGGUUCGGGUUUAGGGGUUAGGAUUCAGGGUUAUGCUGUUAUGCUGCAUCUUUCGGGUUAUUUCCCCCUCGUUACAUGGAACGUUUUUCUCUUUUUAACCACAUUGCUUUCUCUCCCUCACUCAUCCAUUGAUCACUACUCGCAUCGGUGUUCACAUCAUACUGUGAUUAAUGCAGUUAUAUAAGACAGAAGUGCUGUGUACGAUGUAUGUACAGUAUGGUUUCGGGACAGAGGAUGUCGCAUGUGCACAGACUGUAAAGCUCUUUGAGGCAUAUUUGUAAUUUGCCAUUUUAGGCUAUACAAAAUGAAAUGAAUUGAAUUGAAUUAAUGGCAUCAAAGCAGUCGUGUCCUUAUUUCUACAUGUAAACCUUUAACAAUGUCCAGAACCUACUUAACUACCUAAUGACGUGUGUUGAUGUGUCAAACGGCCAUCGUUUAAUCUCCUUCUAUGUAAAGUCAUAUUUGAGCAAUGGGACAUCUGGAGCUCCCGUUCUGCCAUAGCAACAUAUAAUCCUACCAGCGAUCAGAUUAGAGCCGAAGCAGCCAAUCACACGCUACACUUACUCUCUAACUGGGUUAGAUUGGUGCUAGCUUUUGUUACCACAAAAUGCAAAUGUCUUGUCCCCCCCUCACCUAAUGCUCUGUCAAGCUAAACGGGCCCCCAGGCUAAGUUAAGCGCGCUGGAGGAAGGAUGUUGCGAGAGGGUCAGAUGUUACUAUUAACAAACACAAUGCAUUCAGUGAUCAUUUUAUCCAAGGCCUGAAUGACAUGUUCUUUGAAGUUAUUUUACGUGAUGCUGCGCCUCAGUUUUUAAGUCUUCCACGAGACACGCUGAGCAGGAACAUUCUGAGCUCAAAGCUCACACGCGGCUGCAGACCUUCCGGCGGGCGAAAGACGAGUCUGUCUCUGUACACUCUGAGGUGUUUUAAGCAUCACGAGGGUAUUGGUGAGGCCUUUGGGAGGGAGGGAGCGGCGGGGCUGCAGUGCACCAGCUGGGUGCCCAGAUGGAGCGGAUCCUCCUUCAGAGAUUCCAGCUGGAGCUUUCUGGACACACGAAAAAGCGAGGGGCAGAAAGCAGCACUAACUGACCGCACCUGAUCCCUGCUGAGCGCACCAGCCCCCCCCCCCCCGUUUACUCCAUCUUUCACUCCAGACGAACAGCUCCUCCAUUGCCCUCCUAUCUGUGUUCUGCUCUUUUCUUUGGAACAUCUGAGAGGGCUUUGCUCUUUCACUCCAUCGCUACGGCGUCAUCACAGACACAGAUUCCUAAGCAGCCCACCUGUUGGAAGAAGAACACUGGACCCCAGUGUUGGGGGAGAACCUCGUCUCUCUUCCUCUAACAGACACCUUUCCUCCACGGGCAUUCGGUGGGAACCAUCACCAUCAAAUAAGGCGUAAUGUCCACCAUUUCAACCUUGACCCACACAGUGUCUACCCACAUCAUUCCUCCCGUUCACACACAGGCAGCGCACACCGCUUAACAGAGCGCCAUUGUCACAAAAUUCACAGGAAUACUCAGCCCCCCCCCCCGAGACACACACACACACACACACACACCACUGCCAGUGAACAGCCCCCUCUCUGAUAAGUGCUGAGAGACAAACAAUGACCACGUUUACAUACAGAUUCAUAUUCCACUCAUUCAUUAUUCACAAUAUCACAAAUUAGAAAUGAGUCAGCCUCACAUUCCGUGGUACACGGAGAUAUUACUGUGGUUUGAGGAGCAUCCUCUGACAAAAUGAGUCUCAAUAAAAGGUUUUCACGGCACCUUGUGACACACAACUUCUUUCCUGUUUACGCACAAACCAACGAGCCAAAGAUCUCUGUCUCAAGCCACGGUGGUGGAAGGAAUUAAAUAAGAGGGAGGCUGUUUUCUCCCCAUACCGAGGCCCUGCUGGACAACGCGUCUCCAUUCGCCUGCUCAUCCUGUGCAGUGUGGCAUGUCCCAGCAUGCAGUGCGUCAGUGGCAGAGUGCACCACAGAGCCAGCAUGUACUUUACGGGCAGAACACUCAGACUGACGCCAGUUAUCGAUCGACCCAACGCGCAUGUCUUUGGACUGGAGGGAGAAGAACAUAGAAACUCCACAACUUACAAAAUACCGUUGUAUUUGAAUGUAUUACUGACAUAAUGGUAGUAUAUUCUUGUGUUUUUUCAGGGAACAGGCUGUACAAAGGAAGGAGACUGAAAAGGACGCAGCGACCAGGAGAGGAAUAAUUCGAGAGAACCUUCAACACUUUCAACCCAUAAACGAGCACCGUUGGGAGUGUCGGUGGACUCCAUCUGAGGCCAACUCAUCACAUGCACCACGUUCCUUCAGCCGCCCGCUGACGGAGGGAAAACGAGGGACAGUUUUCCCCUCAGAGAGUAUUUGUGGGAGAGAAAGAAAGAGAGAAAGAGAGAAGACCAUUAAAUGGGAACUAACAAGGUGUUUAGUGUUACACAUGCGCCCAAAGCUACAGCUGCAACAGUGAGAACAAACAGCGAGAGAACAGAUAUCGGACAGCGCCAUGAGACCGGACUUUACUGAUGUCCCUGCAGCACACACACAGAGACAGAAAUCAAACACAGGAAUCUUGCAGGGGAAAGAAAUAUUCAGAGGGACCUGCGGACAUAAAGGUUUGACCGAUGAAUUGCUUGGACCCAAGUGACGCUCCAGGUAUAACCGUUGCUACCGACGAAGGCAGAACACUGAAUCAACACCCAAACGAUGCCAGCUUCAGCGGUUAUGUGUUAUGACGACAAUGGAACAUUGCAGCACGGAUAAUAAAUAUAAACCGCAGUAUAAGCCAGUGAUUUGUACACUGAUAUCAAUCAGUGAGAUGUCAACAAAAACUGACAUAUGGAUCCAUAUUGAUCGCAGCUGGUGUUUAUUUACUAUAUAAUCUAAACUAGUAGCAAAAUGUAACUCUGGGUCAUCAGACUAAAUCCUCUCAUCCCUUCCAUAAAAAAGUACUUUCAUGGUGCUAAAUAGGCUCUGUGCAUUGGCUACAGACGCUCAGUAUGUCUCUUAUCGCCAUGGGUGCUUUAGGGUUCAGUGACAUUUCCAGCUAAUAAUCAAUAACCAAGGAUCAACAGACAGACAUUACUGCUAUGCGAUUGGGAACAUUGGACAGAGAGGUGCAAAAGCCUCUGAAUCUGCUGCCUGAAUGUGUCCGCGUGAAGGGAAACCAGCACGAGCUAAUUACUGCUACUCGCUGCUGCCUGAGCCACAAUCCGGCCGCAUGACGCAGGACAUAUAAGGCAAGAGGAGCCCGCUCGACUGGACACAGGAUCCGAUGGGGCGGGGGGCUUAGGUAACAGAGACGUUUAGAAAUGGUGGCAAAGAUUUUUAAAAACUGCUGAUGGUCAACCAUAAGGAGGGUGAGGAAUAGGAAACGGCUUCAUUUCUGAGGAGAUUUUUAUUCUGUAAAGUUAUGGAAACGUACGUAUGGGGUAUGGAGCAGCUCAGUGGCGGUCGGAUGUAGCUUCAGGCUACCGAGGACUUCACAACAUGCAGUUUACGUGCUGGAAAUCCAUUUAUUUGUGUUUCGUGGUCAACUCAAGGCCCGCGGUGGAAUCAUCUUUGGCCCACAGGAUAAUAUUGUACUUUAUAAAUAGCUGCUAUUCCUAAUCAGUCCACCGGGGGUCACUCCGAGUGAGUGAGCGCACGCCACAUAAAGAUGACGGCGCACCAUCCGUGCCCACCCGUCGACCGGACCAUCUCCAAUGAUUCUACUGGCCUGGCCCACUUGAGAUCAAAGUGGGCGGUAUCUGGCCCAAAGGCCGUAACUUUGGAUACCUUUCCUUUCUGGGUAGGUCCAACUUGAGGAUCUCGGGUUGGACCCAGGACACGCAGGAAAUCUAAUAUGUAUUUCUUCAGGCUUCUUGAUUGGUCUGCGGGCACUUGGGUUCAGAGAUUGAAUGAAAAUGAACAUUUUUUUUUUAUGUGCUUUUUUGCCAUUUUGCUAAUUUACUGCCAGAGAUAUAAGUGCACAGCUAGUGGAAAACUGCCUAUUUUCAUAUCUAACUCCUUCAGAGUUGAUUAAGACCAAUACGGAGUCGGUAAUUGGUGGAACAGUGUGAAGACGAACCAAACCAAAUCUUUAAAGGAUCUUGGAGAGUUCACACCCGGCAGCGUGAAUAUACAUAUCGGCAAUCGGCAGUUGUUUGAAAAAUGUUCUGCUGCACUGCAGAAAACGGACGGAUGUAAGGAAAAAGGCCCUAAAUGGCCCUAUGAAUGAAACUCCCUCCCUUUGUCUCCACUGUGACAUUAACAGUGUCUCACGCUGUAUGAUAAUGUAUGUAUGUAAGAGAACUUUCCCUUUGCUUGGAAAAAUUCCAUCACUAAUGACCGGUGACCCCGAUGCCAGCCAGGCCACCACACAAUCCCACAGUAACGAGCCGGGAACAACACCAAGCGAGGAGAACAGCUCAUCACUGCGUGACGGGUGCGAUCAAAGUGCUGAAACUGUCAACGUCCACGAUUCCCAGCAUCCCUCGUUACUAUCCAUCGCUUCUUCCGUCUCCACGAUCGUCGGGAGACUGUAAGCAAGAUGUUUCUGGAAUACUGGGCCACAUUCAAAAGGGCCGUGUUCUCCGUUGAGAGGGAGGACCGACGGUUACAAUGUGCCGUCUGUCACCGAGUGUGCAUAUGUGGGCUGGCAUAUGGAGAUACGUGCAUUCCAGACCGAUGUCUUAUUGUCUCUCUGCCCACCCACCCGUACCCCAUCUCUGCAGGGGGGGGAGGGGGGGGGCGUAAAACUGUCACAGAAGAAAUAUGUGCUGCGGUCCCUGAAAUCACAGGCAAAAUCGUUGAGUGCUUAGUGGAGUGCAGCAUGUGAUCCGCUGGUGGUGGUGGAGAGGGUGGAGAGGAAGGUGUGUCAUUGAACGUAGCACCGUCAAUUCAUCACGCAUUCGUCGCUUCACGUUAGGUGGUUGAACAGCUGGCGCGUUUUGUGUUGGAUCUGACAAGUUGCGUAAUAACCCACGGAGAAGUGCGGGAGAACCUCCCCGCGGUGCCCCGCGGGGCGC
ensembl:lncRNA